rnacentral:lncRNA from 10 species
AGGAGUCCCUGUUUCUGCUGCUCCAGUACCUGCCCCCUGGGGUCAUCGCCCUGGUCAACUUCCUGGGUCCCCUGCUGUUCACAUUUCUGGUCCAGCUGGAGAACUACCCUCCCAACACGGAGGUCAACCUCACUCUGAUCUGGCGGCGGAGGAAAGGAGGAGCUCGCCUGCAGUCAGGAUCCUGAAAAGGCCACAGGCUUCUCCACCGCAGGGCUUGCUGCAUGUGCCUCUCCACACCAGGCAUGAGGGAACAUGGCUGGACUGUGCAGUGUUUCUCAAACUGAUCUAAAAACAGAACCCUUGGCCAGGCGCCGUGGCCCACACCUGUAAUCCCAGCACUUUGGGAGGCCAAGGCGGGUGGAUCACCUGAGGUCAGGAGUUCGAGACCAGCCUGGCCAACAUGGCGAAACCCUGUCUGUACUCAAAAUACAAAAUUUAGUCAGAAAUCGCUUGAACCCAGGAGGCAGAGGUGGCAGUGAGCCGAGGUCACAACACUGAACUCCUGCCUGGGUGACAGAGUGAGACUCGGUCUUGAAACAAAACGAAAACACAGAACCCUUUUUCCCAUGA